rnacentral:rRNA from 1 species
UGGGGAAUAUUGGACAAUGGGGGCAACCCUGAUCCAGCAAUGCCGCGUGUGUGAAGAAGGCCUGCGGGUUGUAAAGCACUUUCAGUAGAGAAGAAAAGCCUAGGGUUAAUAACCCUGAGUCUUGACGUAACCUACAGAAGAAGCACCGGCUAACUCCGUGCCAGCAGCCGCGGUAAUACGGAGGGUGCGAGCGUUAAUCGGAAUUACUGGGCGUAAAGCGCGCGUAGGCGGUUUUGUAAGUCGGAUGUGAAAUCCCCGGGCUUAACCUGGGAACUGCAUUCGAUACUGCUUAACUAGAGUAUGGUAGAGGGAAGUGGAAUUUCCGGUGUAGCGGUGAAAUGCGUAGAUAUCGGAAGGAACACCAGUGGCGAAGGCGACUUCCUGGGCCAAUACUGACGCUGAGGUGCGAAAGCGUGGGGAGCAAACAGGAUUAGAUACCCCCGUAGUCC